UACGUAGGGUGCAAGCGUUAUCCGGAAUUAUUGGGCGUAAAGAGCUCGUAGGCGGUUUGUUGCGUCGGCUGUGAAAUCCCGAGGCUCAACCUCGGGUCUGCAGUCGAUACGAGCAAACUAGAGUGUUGCAGGGGAGACUGGAAUUCCUGGUGUAGCGGUGAAAUGCGCAGAUAUCAGGAGGAACACCGGUGGCGAAGGCGGGUCUCUGGGCAAUAACUGACGCUGAGGAGCGAAAGCGUGGGGAGCGAACAGG
rnacentral:rRNA from 1 species